UUAAUGCUCAAUUUUUUCUAAUAGUCCAAACAAUAAAAUUAUCCAUUUAAUUCUCGCAAUUCCAAUUUCUGUUCAAAUCUCUAGAUGGAAGUUUAUCAACUUUUUUAAUUUGUUCUAAAAAUGGAUUCAUUCUCCACAAAUUUUCUUGCGUGUCCCAAUCAGAAAUCAAAAACUCAUUUCAAAGAACUAAAGAUUCCUUUAGAAAUGUAACAAACAUAUAAUCUGCUACACAAUUAGUUCUAAAAAACAACCUAAAUCAAUGGACUCAAACCCUAGCUCUCAAAUUAAAGCAUUAAUUGAAAAAUAAAAAUAAAAAGAAAGAAAGAAAAGAAAAACAAAGGAAGAGCUUUGGCCGUUUAAAUUGAAAAAAAAAACCAAUUUUAUUUUUUUUCAAAAACCCUAGCCACCAUGUUGUUACCAAUUCCGUUUCCACCACUGUAAUUCCACUAUCCUUUCCACCAUCAGACAACGCGACGACAAUUGCUGGCCAAAACCCAACCUUCUUUUGCCCUUGGUUCGCCAUGAAAAUGUCGCGCAAAUCCUCCAAAUCACGAGCUCCGCCACCCGUUCGCUGUCACCAAGCCAGCCAUCACUGCCGUCAACCUAACCCACCAUUUGAUUCAUUCGAUUCCAACGAGCACAUCUGAGCAAACAACAUCCCCAAUUGCAGCCAAAACCUUGUGUUUGGAGGGAAGAUUUUGGAUGGUUUUUGGUUGGGGUUGAUGGAGAAAAACAUGUUUUAUGAUAAAGGAGAAAAAAGAUGGAAAAGAGAAAUAAAGAAGAAUUUGAACAGGGAAGGAAACGAAAAAGACGAAGAAGUGAUAAAUAAGAAAUUUCCCUUUUAUAUAAUUUUUGAGAUUUUAAUUUUUUGAUUGUGUUAUAUACUUUAAUUUUGAUUAUAAUAACAUUGAUUGAUGCAGAGAAUUAUUUAAUAUGAUGCAGAGAAGAAGAAGAAAGAAGUAGAAGAACAAAG
rnacentral:lncRNA from 1 species